UGGGGAAUAUUGCACAAUGGGCGAAAGCCUGAUGCAGCAACGCCGCGUGAGCGAUGAAGGCCUUCGGGUCGUAAAGCUCUGUCCUCAAGGAAGAUAAUGACGGUACUUGAGGAGGAAGCCCCGGCUAACUACGUGCCAGCAGCCGCGGUAAUACGUAGGGGGCUAGCGUUAUCCGGAAUUACUGGGCGUAAAGGGUGCGUAGGUGGUUUCUUAAGUCAGAGGUGAAAGGCUACGGCUCAACCGUAGUAAGCCUUUGAAACUGGGAAACUUGAGUGCAGGAGAGGAGAGUGGAAUUCCUAGUGUAGCGGUGAAAUGCGUAGAUAUUAGGAGGAACACCAGUUGCGAAGGCGGCUCUCUGGACUGUAACUGACACUGAGGCACGAAAGCGUGGGGAGCAAACAGGAUUAGAUACCCUGGUAGUCCACGCCGUAAACGAUGAGUACUAGCUGUCGGAGGUUACCCCCUUCGGUGGCGCAGCUAACGCAUUAAGUACUCCGCCUGGGAAGUACGCUCGCAAGAGUG
rnacentral:rRNA from 1 species